rnacentral:rRNA from 1 species
CCUACGGGCGGCAGCAGUGGGGAAUAUUGCACAAUGGGCGCAAGCCUGAUGCAGCCAUGCCGCGUGUGUGAAGAAGGCCUUCGGGUUGUAAAGCACUUUCAGCGGGGAGGAAGGCGGUGAGGUUAAUAACCUCAUCGAUUGACGUUACCCGCAGAAGAAGCACCGGCUAACUCCGUGCCAGCAGCCGCGGUGAAUACGGAGGGUGCAAGCGUUAAUCGGAAUUACUGGGCGUAAAGCGCACGCAGGCGGUCUGUCAAGUCGGAUGUGAAAUCCCCGGGCUCAACCUGGGAACUGCAUUCGAAACUGGCAGGCUAGAGUCUUGUAGAGGGGGGUAGAAUUCCAGGUGUAGCGGUGAAAUGCGUAGAGAUCUGGAGGAAUACCGGUGGCGAAGGCGGCCCCCUGGACAAAGACUGACGCUCAGGUGCGAAAGCGUGGGGAGCAAACAGGAUUAGAUACCCUUGUAGUC